UACGUAGGGUGCGAGCGUUAAUCGGAAUUACUGGGCGUAAAGCGUGCGCAGGCGGUUGUGCAAGACAGAUGUGAAAUCCCCGGGCUCAACCUGGGAACUGCAUUUGUGACUGCACGGCUGGAGUGCGGCAGAGGGGGAUGGAAUUCCGCGUGUAGCAGUGAAAUGCGUAGAUAUGCGGAGGAACACCGAUGGCGAAGGCAAUCCCCUGGGCCUGCACUGACGCUCAUGCACGAAAGCCAGGGGAGCAAACGGG
rnacentral:rRNA from 1 species